GGCUCUAUGGUGUAAUGGUUAGCACUCUGGACUCUGAAUCCAGCGAUCCGAGUUCAAAUCUCGGUAGGACCU
rnacentral:tRNA from 1 species